AUUUAUAUAAAAUAUUUAGAUGAAUAUUUAUAUAAUAUUAACAUAAUUCAUAUUACUAUAUAUUUUAGUAUAUGAAAUUUUACUUUGAGAAAAUUAGAGUGCUUAAAGCAGGCAUAUGCCUUGAAUACUCCAGCAUGGAAUAAUAUUAAAGAUUUUUAUCUUUCUUAUUGGUUCUAAGAUAAGAAUAAUGAUUAAUAGGGACAGUUGGGGGCAUUUGUAUUUAACAGUCAGAGGUGAAAUUCUUAGAUUUGUUAAAGACAAACUAAUGCGAAAGCAUUUGCCAAGGAUGUUUUCAUUAAUCAAGAACGAAAGUUAGGGGAUCGAAGACGAUCAGAUAC
rnacentral:rRNA from 1 species